rnacentral:rRNA from 1 species
AGAGAGAGACAUGCGCGCAUAUCAAUAAGCGGAGGAAAAGAAACUAACUAGGAUUCCCUCAGUAACGGCGAGUGAAGCGGGAAGAGCUCAAAUUUGAAAUCUUCAAGGUUCUACCUUGACGAAUUGUAGUUUAAAGAAGUGUUUUCUGUUGGAGUUUUGGUAAAAGUUCUUUGGAAUAGGACAUCAUAGAGGGUGAGAAUCCCGUAUUUGACCAUUAUUUCAGCUGUGUGAUACACUUUCAAAGAGUCGGAUUGUUUGGGAAUGCAGUCCAAAAUGGGUGGUAAAUUUCAUCUAAAGCUAAAUAUUGGCGAGAGACCGAUAGCGAACAAGUACCGUGAGGGAAAGAUGAAAAGAACUUUGAAAAGAGAGUUAAACAGUACGUGAAAUUGUCAAAAGGGAAGCGUUUGACACCAGUGUUGUUUUCUCGAAAAUCAAUUAAAAAAGGCAGGAUUUUGUGUUGUAUUGACUUUAUCAGCUUUCUGCACUCUUUUCUUGUCUUUCUUAAUGCACUUUUCGUUUAACAAGUCAACAUCAAUUUCUUUUGUUGUAAAAGGGUCAUUGGAAGGUGGCUUUCUUUUCGGAGAAAGUGUUUAUAGCCUUUGGCCUCUGCAAUCGGAGAGAUUGAGGUCUGCAGCGUAGAUCCUUCGGGGUUAGAUACAUUUGUGCUAAGUUAUAGCCUUUCAUAGACAACUUGUUGACUAUGAUCAGUCAUGUAGCUUACUCGCUUAUGCUAUUUUACCUACGCUUAGGAUGUUGAUGUGAUACUGCGAGCA